CGGAGGGGCGUAGCGUUGUUCGGAAUUACUGGGCGUAAAGCGCACGUAGGCGGCUUUGUAAGUUAGAGGUGAAAGCCCAGAGCUCAACUCUGGAACUGCCUUUAAGACUGCAUCGCUUGAAUCAUGGAGAGGUUAGUGGAAUUCCGAGUGUAGAGGUGAAAUUCGUAGAUAUUCGGAAGAACACCAGUGGCGAAGGCGACUAACUGGACAUGUAUUGACGCUGAGGUGCGAAAGCGUGGGGGAGCAAACAGGAUU
rnacentral:rRNA from 1 species